GGGGAGGUUGAAGGGUAGGAUUCCCAAUCGUUAGGGCCGCGGCGCGGGAUUGGGGAGUGGGUUUAAGAGCUUCUGGCCUACGUGUGAGCGAAGGUGGGGCCCUCUGAGGAGGGUUCGAGCGUGUGUGACCCUGAGUUUGACCGCAAAGUUUGUCCCGUUGUUUGGAAUCGUUGAGUGAAUGUGGAACUGGUGCGGAAUUGUGUGUGAUUGCGCCUGAGGAGUACAUGUGGAGACCAGCAUUGAGGUGUAACGUCUAAGCCGAACUUCCCGUGUCGAAAAUGCUGAUGACGAUAACGUUGCCAUCUUCCUGGAACACCUACUUUACUUGAAGGUGUGGGGGGGUGUUAGUGAAUAAUUUUAAAACGAUUUUUAUAUAAAACACUUAUUUUCGAUUGGAAAGUACCCUGACUUACUAAAUAUUUUUUAAACAAUAUUUCAAAAUAAUUUUUUAUCGUUGUUACGGGGUUCUGGCUUCAGACUUUCAGAUCCCCUCAUCUUUGGGGUAUUUUAAUGGAGCUGCUAGGCAAAUUCCUAGACUAUCCUUUCACUUUGGGUAGAAGUGGGCAAAAAGCUCAGCAACAGGAAGUCAGAGGUUGUAGAUAAAGUACAGUUAUCCUCUUUGAAAAAAACUCAGUAGUUGAGAUGCUCGUACGAUGUAUAAAUUUUGUGCCAUAAUGAAGAAAAAUAACUUCUGGCUGGUAAUUAUUAUUAUUACUUUUUGCGGUGCUGGUGAUGGAACCCAGGGUCUGUUCACUCUAGGCCAGCGCUAGCGCUCUUAGGAGACUAGAUCUCAUCCCUUAAGAUGUUUUUAAUAGACUUCAUCCGCAGUCACCUUUCGUGUAACUGUAUAUGAUACGAGUUAAUAAUUUGGUACCAAAUUAAGAUUUCCAAACGAAUAGACUAGAGAUAUAAUUGAAGAAAAUGACUGUUUUACAAUAGCAACAAAUUAAAACACUAAAAAAUAUAAGAAAUGUUCAAAUUAUUAGAAAAUAACUUUAAAAUGCUACUAAGGGGUGUUACCUAAGAUGUGAACAAAAUAGAAAUACCACCUUACCUAAAGUAGUGUGGAGGCCUAGGGACUUAGCCCCGUGGUAGAGUGUAUGCCCAGCAUGUGCAAAGACCUCUGCAUUCAGUCCCCAGCACCACACAGUAAGUUUAUUAAUGUCCUGUAAUAUCAACGAAAGUAUUGACAGGCUUGUUCAACUGCGUUAAGCUGAUUUUAUACUUCAUUUGGAAAAACAGACAAGCAACAAUAGGCCACUGAAAAUCUGAGGGUGUGGGAGGUGGGAUUCAGCCCUAGCACUUUAAACAGUUUCAAGGCUGGUUUUGUGGCUCAGUGGCAGAGCACUUGCCUGAAUCCCUGGGUUCCAGCCCCAGGACUGCAAAAAAGGGAAAAUAACACCAAUUACAAAAAAAAAAAGGUGGGGGGAGGAAGAAAGAAACAUUCAGAAAUUAAAAUGGUAUUGGCAUGAGUACAGCCUGUGAAGGCAAUGUUUACAAUAACUACUACCAGGUAGGAGAUUAUACAACAAAACAUGCAGCUGUACAAAACAAUGGGGAGGAAGCUUUCUCUAUAUUUACACUGAAAUUACAAAAUUAGUUAAGUGAAAAAGUAUAGAAUGUAGAGUGUGCUUUAUUUGCAGUAAAAAUACUGGGUAUCUUUGAAUUUCCGUUUUUAAAAAAGAGCUGGGCGUGGUGUUAACAUGCCUGUCAUCCCAGUGAUUUGGGAGGUUGAGGCAGUAGGAUUGGAAGUUCAAGGCCAGCCUCAGCAAUUUGGACUCAGCAAUUUAGUGAGACCGUCUCAAAAAUAAAAACUGGAAUGGACGGGAUGGAGCUCAGUGGUAAAGCUCCCCUGGGUUCAAUUCCCAGUACCAAAAAAAAAAACAAAAAAAAAACCAAACCUAAUAAUCUAUUUGUGUUGUGUGUAGGGGUACUGUAAUAAAUAAUGCGAAGGCAACAGUACCUCUUUGCUUCUUUUAUAAAACUGUGUAAUGUAGAAUACAUUCUAAGGGCUUUUUAAAGAAGGACAUCAGAGGGCUGGGGUUGUGGCUCAGUGGUAGAGUACUUACCUAGCAUGCAUAAGGCACUGAGUUUGAGCCCUAGCACCACAUAAGAAAAACUAGAAAGGGCUGGGGUUGUGCAGAUAUCAAUGGAGAAUACUUGCCUCACAAGCGUGAGGCCCUGGGUUUGAUCCUCAGCACCACAUAAAAAUAAAUAAGCAAAAUAAAGGUAUUUUGUCCAUCUACAACUAAAAAAAUUUUAUAAAAAUAGAGAUAUUGUGUUCAUCUACAACUAAAAAAAUUUAAAAAGGACAUCAGAUUUCCUGUGUUAACUCCUCCCUCUGCCACUUUGUACCUCAGUGACUUUGGCAGGUACUUAGACCUUAUGACUCAGUUUCUUUUUUUUAAUAUUUACUUAUUUUUUUAUUUUUAUUGAUUUCUUACAUACAUGACAAUAGUGGAAGACUCAGUUUCUUACCUGGUAAUAUAGAAACAGAAGAAUCUGAUUCACAGUGGUUUUGCAAGUCAAAAAGUUGAUAUAUAAAAUUCUAAGAAUAGAUUUAAUUUAAUAAUAGUAUUUACUAAUUUUUUUUUUGUGUGUGUGUGCGUGCGCAUAUGUGGUUAUGGGGGUUAAACUAUGGUUUUGCCCAUACAAGGCAUGCACUCUGCUACUGAGUUACAUUUCUAGUACUAGUGCUAUUAUUAUUUGUUGUCUGCAGGAAAAUUUAGGAACUUUCUCAAAAAUAGUAUAACCAUUUGCACUGUUUAUGGUAGAAAUUUCUGAAAUAUAAAUGCGAUUUUCUAACUUCUGUAUCUUAGAAUUUUUACCUUUUUUGUUGUUGUUUUGGGGCAUUUCCUCUUAGUUGGAAUGAAAAAAUGAGAAUUGUGUUCAAGUGCUCAUCUUUAGAAGUUCAUCUACCUCCUUCAUGAAACUUCUUUGAUCACUAAGUGUUACCUUCAUGUUUGUAAUCCUGAAUUUCUGGUAUUUUUAGAAAAUUCUAAAGGUAGUUCAUUUUUGGCCAUAAUACACAGGAGCUGAUCUUUUCUUUUCCCUCCCUCCCUUUCUUUGUUUCUUUCUCUUUCUUUCUUCUUCCUUUCCUUGUUCCUUUUUCUUUUCCCUUUUUCUUUCCCUUUCCCUUUUCUUUCCUCCCGCCCCCUCCCUCCCUCCCUCCUUCCUUCCUUCCUUCCUCUCUUUCUCUCUCUUUCCUUUCUUCCCUCCCUACCGUAAUUGAACUCAGGGGCACUCAACCACUGAGCCACAUCCCCAGCCUUAUUUUGUAUUUAAACACAGGGUCUUACUGAGUUGCUAAGUGCCUCCUGCCAUUGCUGAGUCUAAUGUUGAACUCUCAGUCCUCCUUCUCAUUCUCCUGAACCGCUGGAUGACAGGCAUGCGCUACACCAGGCUAGGAGUUGAUCUUGAAUACUUCAUAUAGCAUUGUAUCAGGAGAGGUGUACUAUUGUGGCUGGUCCACCAUUGUUGACUAUACUUUUCCCUUUAUGAUCAGAUGUUUGUCUGUGGUUUUACUUUGGUAAAUCAUUUAACUGAUGGUUUUAGCAACAGUAAGUGAUCCUUGGCUGAGUCAGUAAUUUCUGUAGAGCUUGUAAAGUGAUUUUACAGUAUUUUUUUCUAGGUCUUUAUAUUUAUUUGAUUGUUACCUCAAAUUUUUCCUGGGUUUUUCUUUUUUAAGCAAUAUUAUUUGCAGAGCUGGAUAUUGAACCUAGGACCUCACACAUUCUAGUUAGUGCUCUACCAGUGGCUAUACCCAGCCCUAAACAUGAUUUUAACCCAUUAUAUCCUAUCAUUCUAUAUAUAGGAUACUUAUAAAAAAAAACUUCAAUUGGGUAACAGUUAUACCACCUAUGGUCACUUUGAAAUAAAUGUUAUGUUUUUAGAGUUCUUUUGAGAAAAGAAGUAGAUGAGUGAUUAGAGCAUUUCAUAUAUGUAUAGAAAAUAUGUUUAAAAAAAUUUAAGGUAUUUAAUGAUGUGUAUGGCAUUUUUUGACUUUACAGUCCAGGAUAUAUCUUUUACUGCCCCUUUUUUUUUUUUGUUGGGGUUCUGGAGUGCUUUACUACUGAGAUUUUUAGGCCUUUUUAUUUUUAUUUUUUUUACUUUGAGUUAGUGUCUCGCUAAAUUGCUGAGUCUGUCCUUGAACUUAUGAUCCUUCUGCCUCAGACCCAGACACUAGGAUUAUAGUGUAUCUUUAAAAAUAAACUCUAGGUUAUGAUUUUCAAACUAUUCUAGUGCACCUGAUCAGUUUUUUAAAAAAUAUUUACAGAAUUGAAAUCUAGGACUUAAUGGGUUCAAAUUGUAUAGAUUUAGUGUGUUCUAAUAGCACCAGUGGUUUGUAUGGGGGGUGGGAUGUUUUAUGCUUGUGUCAUCACAGUUGAAAUCAGUGGCUGCUGCUUUAGUCUUAUUUUGAAUUGACAUCAUUUAUCCUUGAAAACUUUAAGUAAUUGAAAUCUAGGUUUACUUUGUUUAUAUUCUAUCCUGGAGUGGAAUUGACCACUUUCUCCAAGGAGUUCUAGAGAAUGGCGAAAGAACCUUAAGAUCCAGGGCAAUGUUGUUUCAAGGUUGUUAUUUGUUUGUUUUUGGUGCUGGGGAUGGAAGCCAGGGCCUUCUUGGCAGUUGCUCUAUCACUAAGUUGCAUCCCCAGCCGCUCAAGGCCAUUUUAAAUCAUGAGUCCAUAUUAAUAUUUCUAAUUAAGCUUAAAUGGCAUAGUAUUUUUUUCUGUUAUCUUAGAUCCUAUUGUAUUUUGAAAUUUAAAAUUUGAAGCAGGUUAUAAGUACUUACUACUGAAGAAUGAAGAGAAUGAUUUCAAAAUAACAGUAUUGACAGUAGUAAACCAUAAACAUACUGAAUCAUUA
rnacentral:lncRNA from 1 species